UACGUAGGGUGCGAGCGUUGUCCGGAAUUACUGGGUGUAAAGAGCUCGUAGGUGGUUUGUCGCGUUGUCCGUGAAAACUCACAACUCAAUUGUGGGCGUGCGGGCGAUACGGGCAGGCUGGAGUACUGCAGGGGAGACUGGAAUUCCUGGUGUAGCGGUGGAAUGCGUAGAUAUCGGAAAGAACAUCAGGGGCGAAGGCGGCUUUCUGGACUGAUACUGACGCUGAGGCGCGAAAGCGUGGGGAGCAAACCGG
rnacentral:rRNA from 1 species